rnacentral:rRNA from 1 species
AUAGUGGCAAACGGGUGAGUAACACGUAAGUAACCUGCCCUUAAGUGGGGGAUAGCUCCGGGAAACCGGUGGUAAUACCGCAUGUUGUGGUGGAGGUAAGGCUCCAUUAUUAAAGCCUUCGGGCGCUUGAGGAGGGGCUUGCGGUCGAUUAGCUAGUUGGUAGGGUAAUGGCUUACCAAGGUUACGAUCGAUAGCUGGUCUGAGAGGAUGGUCAGCCACACUGGGACUGAGACACGGCCCAG